AACGUAUGACUAAUUACCGCAUAAAAUUUGAGUUUUAAAAUCUCAUCAAGAUUUCUGUCUGCUUGAACUUGUUUUUUGUACUACUGCAUUUGCUGCACUGCACGUUCUCCGAAAAAAUGUUGGUCUUAACCAACUUGAAGAGCCAUUAUUUGUUUCUUCUAGAGCACGGAUACCAUUUGAAAUCCCAGGAUUGCUUGAAACCCCGACUGCUGCUGAAAUCCCAUUACUCCUCUGCUGGGGGGUUACCGAGGCAGCUCUGUGGAGGGGUCUUUGAACCUCCAGAGAUCCACUGGAAACAGAUGGAGAAGUUGGUUCACUUGAGGGAGGCAGCAAAGAGCCCAUCUUUGAUGAGAAUGUAAUUCGUGAACUG
rnacentral:misc_RNA from 1 species